AGUCCCUCGAGCCGAAUUUGAACCAACGACCUAAGGAUCACCGUUGAAAAAUCUACAGUCCUCCGCCCUGCCAACUGAGCUAUCGAGAC
rnacentral:tRNA from 1 species